GAACAAAGAUCUCAAAUGCAGCAUUGCUCCAAAUUUAUUAAAGUUCACAUCAAGAACACAACUCACAAUUUUGGAAAAUUCAUUACAACAAGAAUUCAGAUAUGUCAUGGUCUCAUCUGAAUUUCCUUCCAUUAAAACUGAAUUCCACAAUAAAACAAAUACUUUUGGGUUUAUUCAAAAUUCGUGGUUGAAUUCCAGCCUUCUUA
rnacentral:misc_RNA from 1 species